GACGAACGCUGGCGGCGUGCUUAACACAUGCAAGUCGAACGGAAAGGCCCUGCUUUUGUGGGGUGCUCGAGUGGCGAACGGGUGAGUAACACGUGAGUAACCUGCCCUUGACUUUGGGAUAACUUCAGGAAACUGGGGCUAAUACCGGAUAGGAGCUCCUGCUGCAUGUUGGGGGAUGGAAAGUUUCGGCGGUUGGGGAUGGACUCGCGGCUUAUCAGCUUGUUGGUGGGGUAGUGGCUUACCAAGGCUUUGACGGGUAGCCGGCCUGAGAGGGUGACCGGCCACAUUGGGACUGAGAUACGGACCAGACUCUUACGGGAGGCAGCAGUGGAGAGUAUUGCACAAUGGGCGGACGCCUGAUGCAGCGACGCCGCGUGCGGAAUGACGGCCUUCGAGUUGUAAACCGCUUUCGAAUGUGACGAAGCGUGAGUGACGGUAAUGGGUAAAGAAGCACCGGCUAACUACGUG
rnacentral:rRNA from 1 species